rnacentral:rRNA from 1 species
GACGGAGGGUGCUAGCGUUGUUCGGAAUCACUGGGCGUAAAGGGCGCGUAGGCGGCCAGGCAAGUCGGCUUGUGAAAGCCCGGGGCUCAACCCCGGAGGUGCGGCCGGGACUGCUUGGCUGGAGGCCGGAAGAGGAGGGUGGAAUACCCAGUGUAGAGGUGAAAUUCGUAGAUAUUGGGUGGAACACCGGUGGCGAAAGCGGCUCUCUGGUCCGGACCUGACGCUGAGGCGCGAAAGCGUGGGGGAGCAAACAGG